UACGUAGGCAGCAAGCGUUGUUCGGAAUUACUGGGCGUAAAGGGUGCGUAGGCGGUGCUCUAAGUUUGGUGUGAAAUCUCCCGGCUUAACUGGGAGGGUGCGCCGAAAACUGGAGUGCUUGAGUGUGGGAGAGGAAAGCGGAAUUCCUGGUGUAGCGGUGAAAUGCGUAGAGAUCAGGAGGAACACCUGCGGUGUAGACGGCUUUCUGGACCAUAACUGACGCUGAGGCACGAAAGCGUGGGUAGCAAACAGGAUUAGAUACCCUGGUAGUCCACGCCCUAAACGAUGCAUACUUGGUGUGGGUUCUUCACGGGAUCCGUGCCGGAGUUAACGCGUUAAGUAGGCCGCCUGGGGAGUACGGUCGCAAGGCUGAA
rnacentral:rRNA from 1 species